rnacentral:tRNA from 1 species
UUGUAGUAUUGUGGUAAGUAUUCCCGCCUGUCACGCGAGUGACCCGGGUUCGAUCCCCGGCAA